rnacentral:rRNA from 1 species
GAUGAACGCUAGCGGCAGGCCUAAUACAUGCAAGUCGAACGGUGUCUUCGGACAUAGUGGCGCACGGGUGCGUAACACGUAUGCAACCUACCUUACAUUGGGGGAUAGCCUUUCGAAAGGGAGAUUAAUACCGCAUAAGACAGUAGCUGGGCAUCCAGCAGCUGUUAAAGAUUUAUCGAUGUAAGCUGGGCAUGCGUCCAAUUAGCUAGUUGGUGAGGUAACGGCUCACCAAGGCAAUGAUUGGUGGGGGAACGGGGAGGUCAAUCCCCCACACUGGCACGGAGAGACGGGCCAGACUCCUACGGGAGGCAGCAGUAGGGAAUAUUGGGCAAUGGACGCAAGUCUGACCCAGCCAUGCCGCGUGCAGGAUGAAGGCGUUAUGCGUUGUAAACUGCUUUUAUACAGGAAGAAACGACUCUUGCGAGAGGCAUUGACGGUACUGUAUGAAUAAGCACCGGCUAACUCCGUGCCAGCCGCCGCCGUAA